GAUGAACGCUGGCGGCGUGCCUAAUACAUGCCAGUCGAGCGAACAGACGAGGAGCUUGCUCCUCUGACGUUAGCGGCGGACGGGUGAGUAACACGUGGAUAACCUACCUAUAAGACUGGGAUAACUUCGGGAAACCGGAGCUAAUACCGGAUAAUAUAUUGAACCGCAUGGUUCAAUAGUGAAAGACGGUUUUGCUGUCACUUAUAGAUGGAUCCGCGCCGCAUUAGCUAGUUGGUAAGGUAACGGCUUACCAAGGCGACGAUGCGUAGCCGACCUGAGAGGGUGGACCGCCACACUGGAAAUGAGGCACGGUCCAGACUCCUACGGGAGGGAGGCGUAGGGAAUUUUCCGCCAAGGGGGGAAGCCUGACGGAGCAAACCCGCGUGAGUGAUGAAGGUCUUCGGAUCGUAAAACUCUGUUAUUAGGGAAGAACAAAUGUGUAAGUAACUAUGCACGUCUUGACGGUACCUAAUCAGAAAGCCACGGCUAACUUCGUG
rnacentral:rRNA from 1 species